CAAAGUGCUAGGAUGACAGGCGUGAACCACCGUGCCUUGACCCUAAUUUCUAUUUUUAAAUGCCAUCUUCAUUUAAAAUUUUGAUGUUUUGUUCAUCAUUGUAGUAGGCCAAAUUUCUAAUGCAACCUCCCAAAGAUGUCGUUGCUUACUCCCAGGAACCUGUAAUAUUCUGAGAUGUCAUUCUCAUGAUUAUGUCAUGUUAUAUGGCACAGUUGAUAAUAACAUGAGCUUUUAAAAGCAGAGUUUAUUGCAAAUAUAUUACAUUAAAAUAUCAUUUAUCCAGAAUACUCAAUUUUUGGCGCUCCUUACAUAUUUUACCAGAGUUGAGUUCCUCAUUUACCUCCUUCUAUUCCCCUUAAUACUUGGCAUUAUGUAGCUACAAAGUUCAUGUUCUUAUUAUCACCCUUGUUAUUCACAGUGUCCUGUAAUUCUUGUCUUAUUGAUAGAGAAUCAUCUUUAUCUUCCCCAUUUUUUCAAAGUUUCUCUUCUCUGUCUGCUUCUUCCUACCAGUGGCCAUGGUCCAUGACUCCUUUACUACAUCAGAUCCACAUAGUCCAUGGACUAACCAGAAACACAAGAAAUAAGAAGACCAUUUUGAGAAGAACAGAGAGUAGCCUUAAGAAAAUCCCUGUCGCAUGCACUCUGGGAUUUGGACUCAAAUCCUAAUUAUACAACUUGUACUUUGUAAAACAAUGCACUAGAAACCACAGAAUAAAUGCAUAGUCUGGAUGGACUAUGGGGAGAGGGGAAACAUGGAGCCUUACCACAGGUCCUAAGACAAGCCAAGUGCCAAGAACUGCAAAGUCUGAAGAACCUCAUUCAGAUGUGAGGUAUCAGAAAGAGCUUUGUGAGGUGACCCUGAUAACCUUUCACUCCUCCCCAGUUCCUCUCCAUAUCUCUAUUUUUAUGAUCAGGAAUAGUUCCCAAGUUACCACUUCAAAAGGGCUCUUUAACAGCCUAUUGGCACUCAUACCAAAUUCUUAAUUGGAUCUCCUUGCAAUGGUCCUGGCUUGACCUUACUCCACUCUGUAUUGUAAACUUAUUGUUAUCUACAGAUCCAGGUGAUUUCCAGUGUGAUGCCUAUUUUUAUGUGUCAACUUAACUAGGCUAAGAGGUGCCCAGAGAGCUGGUAAAACAUUAUUUCUGGGUGUCUUUGAGAGUGUUUCUGGAAGAGGUCAGCAUUUGAAUAGGUAAAUUGAGUAAAGAAGAUCCAUGUCACCACUAUGGGUGGGGAUCAUUCAACCUGUUGAGUGACCAAACAAAACAAAAAGGAAGAGGAAAGGUGGACUUGCACUCUCUGUGUUUGAGCUGGGAUAUCGAUCUUCUCCUGCCAUAGUUAUUGGCUCUCCUGAUUCUGGGGCAUUCAGACUGAGACCAGUACUUAUUCCAACAACUGUUUGGUUCUCAGUCCUUUGGACUUGGACUGAAUUACACCAAUGAUUUUCCUGGUUCUCCAGUUUACAGACAGUAGAGAGUGGGACUGCUCAGCCUCCAUAGUCAAGCCAAUUCCUAAUAUAUUCUAUUGGUUCUAUUUCUCUGAAGAACCCUGAGUAACACACCCAGUUUACUCGUUUCAUUUAAUUUCCCAUUUACUGGUUUCUUACUCCUCUGAGUACUGACUGGACCUUUUCUUCUUUGAUUUCGCUUUUACCCCCUCAUCUUUUAGUUAUGUUUCCCCUACACUGUAUUUAUGAUCCUACUGCUGUUCUGUGUUCCUUAAAACCUUUCCUCCACAGAGUUCUCUCCAACUUCCAGAGGAGCCCAGAGAUUUCACUCUUAAUCCUUUAGAAUAUUAAAGCACUAACUGCCUUAGAACAGAAGCUCCAGAAUAUAUAGUGUUUUGAAGAGCCAAAUUUAAGAUUUUUUUUUAAAGGGAGUAAGGAAGCUCAGCUAAGGAUUCAACCCAAGGUAAACUUGACCAGUAAGUUGAGACUAUCAGGUGGAUUUUGACUUUCAUCUAAUGGUCAAGAAACUGAGGGAACAGAGUGUCAUGGAAUGGUUUUCCCUCCUCAUGAAUCGACCACCUCCCUUCUCUAUUUGCUUUUCCUGAAGGUCUCCUUUAACUCUGAGGUUCUGUAAUACUCAAUGUCAAUCACGCUGGGUGUAGGGACAAUGUAAUAAUGUGUUUUAUUGCUUUUGUUGUCUACAAAUGUGGUGGUUUCUUUUUAGGAAUUUACUUCAUAAAAUUGUUUUUAAAAUCACCAAAAGAAAUAUUUGUAAGUGUAGAAGGAUUUAGAAAAGAAGACAAUUCAAUAUUGUUCAGUAAAUAGUAAUUAACAGACUAGCCUCUCAAUCAGUUCCAGCUCUUAAGUUAGUAUCCCCAGCAAGCUACAAGUAAUAUUUAAAAUUAAGUUUAACUUAAUAUUACCAUAUGCGUCCAAAUUCUUAAGAAUAUUCUCAAUCUCUUAUUAUAAACUGCUUUCAAAAUUCUAUCUUAAUAUAUCUUAUAUUUUGGGAUUUAAUUUAGGCAGGUCAUGCCACGGCAUAUAUUUAAAUGUUUCUCAUCUAAGGUUUCUAUGAAGUAAUGCUGACUUAAAAAGUCUAUAAUGGUAAAAAUAAGUGACAUUUCUACCAAUAACUGCAUUAUCAAUCACAGCGUAACUGAACCGUGAUUUCCUAGAAGAUUGUUCUCUAUUGCUUUGGCAAUAGAAUAUGGGGACCUACUGAAGUUCACGUCAACAAUUCCCCCAUAAAGUUACAAUAAGCUUAACAGACUGUCUCUCCAGGUCUAUAAUGAUGACUGGAAUAGGAAAUUCGGACAGCACAAGUGGUCGCUUCUUAGGCUUCCUGCCAGAUUUUGAAAACCACUAUAACAAGUCGUUUCUGCCAA
rnacentral:lncRNA from 10 species